UACGUAGGGGGCAAGCGUUAUCCGGAAUUACUGGGUGUAAAGGGUGAGUAGGCGGUAAAGUAAGUCAUAUGUGAAAACUUGGUGCUCAACACGAAGAGUGCAUAAGAAACUAUUUUACUAGAGUGCAGGAGAGGUAAGCGGAAUUCCUAGUGUAGCGGUGAAAUGCGUAGAUAUUAGGAGGAACACCAGUGGCGAAGGCGGCUUACUGGACUGUAACUGACGCUGAGACACGAAAGCGUGGGGAGCAAACAGG
rnacentral:rRNA from 1 species